CAAGAUCUUCUAUGGAGUGUUAUAACAAGCUACGGAGAGUUUUUAAGCAGGGGAAUAUUGUAAUCUGAUUAUGUGUUAGAAGAAUGACAUAGGGAAACAAGGAAAAGAGUAGGAAGACAACAAUAGAAUAGAAGUCAGUAGACUCAUUCAGUGAUACUGAUGAUGAAAAGAAGAACUUCAGUUUCAAAAUAUAUUCUAGUGACAAAGCCAGUCAGAUGUGGUGGAAAAGGCAGAACAGACAAAUGGAAAUGAUUUCUGUUUCUAGUUUGGGCAACACAGCCACUGUGUGGGCGUGAGUAAAACAGAAGAUGAGUCCAUUUGCUCAUAAGAAGAUAUAGACGAGCACUGAUCAAGGUUGAGCAAUGAAGUUUUCUCCAUGCCACAAGUGUCAUGGAGUUUGACUGGUAACAUUUUCAUGAACCAGAAGGUCACCUUUCAGAACAGAUGUACACUUUGCACCACUGCUCAUUUGGUUGUAUUUCUGUAGCUGCCAUAACGCCAUGCUAUCUACUGGACAGCUCAAAAAACAGAAGAGUUUUGGCUCACAUGACUGACGGCACUUCCAGUUCUGAGUAG
rnacentral:lncRNA from 1 species